CAGUGUUCCAGGGUGGUGCAGAAAUCUUCAAGUACGUGCAUGGCUUCAUCACUGGUGUCCCUAGCGUUGGUCUGUUUUCUAAAAGUUGUUGCUGCUGCAUGGACUCAUUCAGCUCACGUAGGACUGCAUACUUCUUUCAUAACAAAUCAUUCAACAUGCUGAGUCAGAUCCUCUUUAACCAAAGGGCUCAUGCUCUUUGGUGAUCACAGAUAAAUGUAUGAUUGAUGCAAGUCACUUCCAGGAACUCCUGACAAGCCCAUCAAUGACACUAACUAUUGUCUGAGGUGGAGGACAUUCAAGACCUUUUGCCAUAUAGAUAACAUCAAGAAUUCUGUAAGUUUCUUCAGUUUCCAAGAGGUUAAUUUAUGGCAGCUUCAUUCCAGGGCUUAAUUUAAGUCUUUUACCACGCUGAAUCUCUGGAAGGGUAGAGUGAAGUCAGUGUUGUAGAACUGACCCUCUGGGCCAUGUAGGUGGGAGGCAACCUUUAACCACUGGUAAUGUGACUCAUUAUUCCACUGAAACUGUCUUCUCUGUGGUUUCCAGGAGACUGUCAUAGUCUGUGUAGAACUCACAGAUGGUAAACUCAGGAUCGUGGGUCAAAACAAUUCCUUCAUUCUGGAAGUGGUGUCCAAUGUCAUAAACCUGGUCAAUGCCAAAAGCACAUUAUGGUAAAGUUCUGGGGGCAAUUGUCUUACAUAAGUUCAUGUCUUAUUUUUUUGUGAUAAGAGAGGAAAAGCUUGGUCACAGCUCCCCCCCACCCUAGGAUGAUGUUCAUUUUAUAAAUUCUAAUCUCUAGGAAUCCCAGAUCACCCAAGAAGCUUCUUACAUCUGUGAUGACCUUACCAUUGAUGAUAUACUUCUGCCUUAUAAAAUCAAUCAGGAUCAAGUCCAGGCGGAGGUAACAUAUGUAACCAUGGAAAGAGCAGUAUGAUCUCGUAGGGAAUGACACUCAGCUCACCAUUUUUGAUUUUCUCAGGAUUCCUCUGAAUUUUAAUCAUGUCUCCUGAUGUAAUAUUGUUAUGAAUAAAUUCUUCUUCUGAUCAAUAAUUCCUGGAAUUCACCAUGACUUGCAACUUGACCUGUCUCCUCUGCAGGUCAUAGAAGAUGAGCUUUCCCCCACAAGCUCUUUUGGCCUGCGUCCUCCCUGCCACCUUUAAGGCAAUGUCAGCCAGGUAGCUCCCAGGCUGCAGGUAACUGUACCCUUGGAUGAAGUGAGUGAGCAAGAUGUCUACAUGGAACUGCGUGGGUCUCAGUCUUCCCUAUUCAGCUGGUGGACAGCUUGACUGCAGAUCUUGUAGCAUUGAUUCACACCCACACCACUCUCGGUGGUGGGGCUUGUGGAAGCAGCCUUGCCAGGAUUGCAGCCAUCCCGGCUUAGCUAUUUCUCAGUGAGAUUUUUCUGAUUGGCCCCUUCUCAGCCACUUUCCUCUCAGCUCUCAGGUGUCUCUUUUGUUUAUUCUUGCUCAGUUUCAUUUUGCAGACAUCUGCUUUCACUUCGGUCCUGGGCUGCUGCUGUCUUCCUGGACAGGCUCACCCAAAAGAUUGAAAGUAUUCAUCUUAACAACUAGUGUAACAGCACCAUAUGAUAGUUGGAUAGUUGGUCAUUGGCUGUAUCUUCAGGCUGACCAUUCCUAGUGUAGGUAUAAUGACCACAGAACCAUCUCUCUAGCUUCUGUUCUGUUGGGUAAGUGGGCUGCCUCUAGUUUUAACUGCAAUAUUAAGUUCAGUUCUAAGCAUUUUUGUGUGCACCUUUGUUUCUUUUUUUGGGGGGGGGGUACUGGGGAGUGAACUCAAGGGGCACUUGACCACUGAGCCACAUCCCCAGCCCUAUUUUGUAUUUUAUUUAGAGACAGGGCCUCACUGAACUCAUGAUCCUCCUGCCUCAGCCUCCCAAGCCACUAGGAUUACAGGCAUGUGCCACCUUACCUGGCUUCAUUUUUAUAUUUAAUAAACUUAUAUUUCCUGUUUUUAUGUGUUUCCUUGGAACAUAUCUCUAAAGUAUUUUCUAAGGUCAAAGGUUAUUGUCAAUUUUACCAUUUAACAAGGUGAUGUAAAAAGCAUGUAAUCAUAGGUUCAGAAACACUCUUGUCCAUAUUUUCAUAGACUACUGAUGCUGGAGAGCUAGGAGGCAGCAUGGUCUAGUGGAGAGAGGGUGGGCAUUUAGGCAUUGAUCAGGGAGAGCUGUGUUCAGGUCUGAGCAGUAUUACCUGGGUAAGAAGUAGGGGCUUGGCAGUCACCCAGCCUCUGUGAAGUUUCUAGCUAUAAAAUGGGAGAGAGGCCAUUGCUCAUAACACCAGGCAAAGCAGGCAUCAGUUACAUACAUCUGUUCCUGACUUUGGCCUGAAGCCUUGGUCAUCUUUGUUACACUCUCAGCCGGCCCAUUUUUGCAGAAGGUGGACUGGGUAACAGGAGUUGAACAAUGAACUAUUAAAUUGUGUUCUGGGCUGUGCACAGUGGCAUAUGCCUGUAAUCCCAGUGAUUUGGGAGGCUGAGACAGGAGGAUCAUAAGUUCAAGGCCAGCCUUAGCAAUUUAGCAAGGCCCAGCAUAACUUAGCAAUUUAGCAAGGCCCAGUCUCAAAAUAAAAAAUAAAAUGGCUGGGAAUGUGGCUCAGUGGUAAAGUACCCCGGCGUUCAAAUCCUCAGUACCCUUUGCCACUCCCCCAAAAGUGUUCUACAUCUUAGGAGGUGUGCAUACUGCCACCUUCUGGUGUGAAGAGUUAGUGUAGAGAUGAUCCAGGGAUCAAGCUACUUCUCAUUGUGUCCCUGUGAGGAUCUGCCCCAGGGUGAUGCUGUAGGAGAAAGAGGGGGAGGUCCUCUCCACCCAGCCUGACAGCUUCUAUCUAGAUGAUGUCCUCCUUCUGCUGAUGAAAUUCUGGAGACAGGAAGAUACUGAGUUUCCAAAGCCUACUUGUAAAUGAUGGUGUAUUUUUGGCUCUGAAGACUGUGGAGGUGUUGGCAAAGGAUGUCUUUGCAAAAUGAGGUGUCUUUAUCAGUGUUUAUUAAACCCUUCAGAGAGGUUGACUGUAGUGGUAAGUUAGUCCAUAGAUCUUUACAGCACCUAGAAUGUGCCAGAUACAUGCUUUGAUACACAUCAUUGAAUUAUGGAGGGUUCCUGCCUCUUUCUCAUUGUCUAGAGGGGAUGUUUGUUGAUAAGAUUAUCUAUCUAUUUAUUUAUUUACUUACUUACUUAUUUUUGUGAUACUGGGAUUGAACCCAGGGGCACUCUGCCAUUGAGUCACACCCUCAGAACCCCCCACUACUUUUAAAUCUUUGAGACAGAGUCUUACUAAGUUGUCCAGGCUGGUCUUGAACACAUAAUCUUCCUGCCUCAGCCUCCCCAGUUGCUGGGAUUACAGGCAUGUGCCACCAUACCUGGUGAGAUUAAUUAUUUUAAAAUUGACAUAGUUUCUUUUAUUUAUUUAAUUGAAGACAAAAAUUGUAUCUAAACAGAACAUUAAAAAAUAGUUUAAAGCACAAUAUGUUGCCUCUCAAGUACAAUAGCCAUUUUUUUCUCAGUAGAUUCUAGCCCUUGUACACUGGUAUGAAGAUUUUUACAGAGCUAUAACCAUAAUACAUAUAUUAUCCUGAAGUUCGUUAUAUUUUACUUGUUAUAAACAUCUCUCUAUAUUGCUACUUAAUCUUCAUAAUUAUCCUUAUAGCUAUGUAUGAGGCAAAUGUAUGACUGAAUCAAAAUCUUUGUAGCAAUUCUCUUAAGUUUAGUUUUUUUCUAUAAUAGACACUGCUUAUAUUAACUUCUUUAUGCACAUCUUUAUUGCACUACUUCUCAAUAAUCAUAAAUAUGGUUCUUCCUAUGUGUUGCUAUAUUGUUUCCCAAAAGAACUAUUAUGAAUUUACAAUGCCACCAAAAUUAUGUCAGUUAGUUUGGUUGCAGCCCUGGGUGUCUUGAAUAUUGUUGCUGUAAAACAUUUUUGAGAAUUAAUAUUUUAAAUGGGAUCCUAGAUUUGCUUUCAUCUGUAUUUCUUUGAAUACCAGUAGGCAGUUUCCUUUUCACAUGUGCAGUAUUUAUAAUUGCUUCUGCAUGAGAACUCUGUUUAUAUUGUGGUUAAAAAUGUGAAUGGGACCCUUGUUGUACGUCUUUUCUUAAAAGAGAGAAAAGCAAUAGAAAUUGCAUUAUUACAGCUCAGAGGGUCAGAAUGGUACUUAACUGUUUUAUUCGUUGGGUUAACAAUGCCUUCUGGAAUCUUCCCAAGAAUGCCCCAGUGUUCUAAGAUCUAGAGUGCAAGUCUAUUCUCCUGCCCAGAACUACUGAGAAAAGUGAUUCUACAACACCCUUAGUGUGCUUGACUCAAUAAAGGAAAUGACAUGAUUCCCCAGUAUGUAUGAGAGAGUUGGACAGCAGCCUAGGUUAUAAAAAUGCAAAUUAAGAUUAUGUGAUUGGAGAGUUAAUUGGUUUCCUAGUGACUCUGAAGAAUACAGAGUGUCCUUGAGUGUCUCAGUUGGAAGGGUCCUACCCACAAAAGGGAAAUGACUUCCACUGAAGAUCACACAGCAAACUAGAGGAGGGCUGGAACCCUGCCUCCAGAUUCCCCUGAAACUUUCAUCUGUCCUGAAGGUAAACGUGAAUGAAUCUACUAUUUCCCCUUUAAGGCUUCCUCUUCUCUGCAACCCUCCUACCCAACUCCCAUACCCUGCCUCCUCCUAGCCUGGAUGAUACUAGAGCACCUCGGAAGACUUCCUGUGUUGGGAGUCUGUUUCCUUUUCCUAGGUUCAAAGUACUGUACCACAAAGUGUCUGUCCAUUAGCUAAAAUAUUGUGUCAAUGCACGAGUUUUUCUUUUGCAAGAAGACUGCAAGUGUUAGAAACAGCCCAUGAAGAUGGAAGAUCUUGACUCUCAGUAAGGCUUUUUGGUUCAAUACCUCACUACUAUUUUCUGGGAUGAUUAGAUGAAAAAGGGAAUUAACAUUUGGUUAAUUAGGUAGUGCCUACCACAUAGUAUGGUAAGAGGCACUACCUAAUGGAAUUUCUUUAAAACACAUGAAGUGACAAAUUUGGAAAUAGCUCCUAGAGUUUAACUAAUUGAUCAGCUCCCAUUGCUAUGAUGUCAUUAUGUUAUUGGUUUUGGAGUAGCCAAUCAGCUUUGCAAACUAUUCAUGUACAUGUCCCACUGAGGAUACCUACACCCUCUGAUGCUAUUUGUAGGAUUUUUGUGCCAGUUUUGCCACCCACAGAUGUUUCAAUCUGGACAAAUGUCAACAGCCUAGGGUCAAGUCUAGAAGGAAGCAGAAAGUCAGGUACAAUAGUGCAUACCUAUAAUCUAUUACUUGGAGGCUGAGGUAGGAAGAACACUUGAGCUCUUUUGAGAUAAGUUUUGGUAACAUAGUGACACUACGUCUCAGAAAAUAAAUUUAAAAAAAUAAAGAAACCCAUUUACAUAGAAUGCAGCAAAGCUAAGGAAAAUAACAUCUGGAAAAAUUCCUUGGGGAAAAAGAAAUAGAAGAAUCCUAAAAAUUGAGACAAAGAUCAUAACUCAAGACAAGAGAAACAAGAGUCUUGGUGGGUGGGAGAAUGUAAGGCCAUAGGUCCUAGGGUGUUGACCAAUUCCCAGGAAGGUUGGGGGACCCUGCAGGGUUUGGGGCACAGGGGUGGUACUUGUAGCAGAAUCUCAUUGGCUCUCUUGGUUUUUUUAUCUUUAAAAUAGGCAUACAAAUAAGCUUCUCUGGCCAUCUCUCAGUGGGGUUAUGGGAACUGAUUCAGUUAACUCAUAAGAACAUGCUUUUAUAAAAUGUGAAAUCCUAUGCAAAUGUCACAGAAGGACUAUCAGUUAGUUACAGCAGUACAAUCUAAUUCAUUAUCCAGAAUUUCAGCUACUCAACUUGUUCCUGGCUGUGUUUUAUUGACAAGGCAGCAUUUGAUAUCCAUUGAGACUCUGCAAAUUAAAGCCUGACUCAGAGUAAGCCCUUGGAAUUCAUGCCUCUCCUGACCCCUGACUUAUUACCUUGACUUUUCUCUACCCUCAGAACAACUAGGAUAGAUUUCAGCUGCACAGCAAAAAAAACAAAACAAACAAAACAAAUGAACAAACAAAAUAAAACCCUUCUCAUAGCAGUCUGCCCAUCCUUUGAAAAACUUAGCUUUUAAUCUUAAAAAAAGUUUUGGGCUGAAAGUUCAUUCAUAAAAGGAUAUAUCUAAGGCUAGGGUUGUGGCUCAGUGGUAGAGCGCCUUGUCUAGCAUGUGUGAGGCACUGGGUUCGAUCCUCAACAUCACAUAAAAAUAAAUACAAAAGAUAAAGGUAUUAUGUCCAUCUACAACUAAAAAAAUAAAAUAAAACUAAAAACAAAAGAAUAUAUGUAAAAGCUGGGUGAGGUGGAACAGGCCCAUAGUCCCAGAUACUCAGGAGGCUGAGGUAGGAGGAUGGCAAGUUUGAAGCCAGACCUAGCAUCUUAGUGAGACCCUUAGUAACUUAAUGAGACCCUGUCUCAAAAUAAAACAUAAAGGACUGGGGAUGUGGGUCAGUGGUACAGCAUAUACCACACACACACACACACACACACACACACACACAUACACACACAAAGUAAGAACUAUAAUUUUAAAAAUAAUAAUAAAACACCACACAAUAAACUUCAGAAAAAACAUUACUAGUGUCUGCAAAGCCCCAUAUAUCUUUCCCUGAUGCAUUCCCUUUACUCUCCUAUCUUCUACUUUGUAUUAAUCUUCAUACAUAAAAUAAUCCUUAAUAUUAUUCUUAAUAUAUAUAUAUUAUCCUUAACAACGUAUUAUUUAGCUUUUUCUGUCUCUGAACUUUUAUAAAGGGGAGAAGUGGUAAGUAUUCUUGUUCAACUUAGGUGUUUUUUUUUUUUUUUGCAUCUGCAAUUUUCCUACAUGGAUGGAUGCAGUUGUAGUUCAUUCAUUUUGAAGACAUAUAGUAUUCCAUUGUGAGAAUGUGCUAUAAAAAUUAUUUAUCCAUCGUAUAGUGAAUGGGCAUUUCAGUUACUUCCAGCUUGAGACAGUUAUAAAUGAUGUGUUUUUAUGUCACCUGUUGUAUUUGUAUAAAAGUUAAUGUUUAUCUAGAAGUGGAAUUACCUGAUCAUAAGGUAUGCAUGUCUUCAAUUUUAUCAGAUAAGGCCAACCGGUCCAAGUGGUUUAACAAUCACCAAUAGUAUAGGAGAAUUUCCAUUGUUCUACUUUCCUGCCCUUACUUGACAUUAGGCAAUGCUUUAUUUUUAAAUUUCUGCCAACCUAGGAGGCCAUGGACUUGUGUAUCUCAUUUUGGUUGUAGUUUGCACUUCCCUUUUAUUAAGGAGGUUGGGCAUCUUUUCAUGUUUGUGGUCCUUUUGUGUUUCUUCAUCUCUGAAAUGUCUGUUUGUCUCUUUUUUAAACAAUAGGCUAAUCUUAUUGAUUGGCAGCUCUUUAAAGAUUCUAGGCACCAACUUUUUGCCAGUUUUAUGCGUUACAAUUAUCUUCUUUCUGUCUCUGGAUUGUCUUCUCAUUCUAUACAAUGUUUUUGUUGAACAGAGUUCUUUAGUGAAAUUGACUUCAACCUUUUCCUUUAUCUUCUUCUUUCACUUUUGGUGUCAUGUUUAAGACAUGAUUUAUCUUUUUCUUUGCCUGAGAUUCUAAAGAUCAUUUCCUGAAUUCUCUUCCAAAUAUUACUAGUGCCUGCAAAGCCGCCUUUUGAGGAGACAUAAACAAAAUUUGAAAAAUUCCAAAAGUCUUUCUUAGGACUGUUCUGUCUGUUCCUGAAUCUUUCCACAAAACAGUUCUGGAAGUCCGAGAUUAUUUCUAUUCCAAUGGGCCUCCUCUCCUCACAGAAAGCUUUGAGUUCUGCCAAAUGCCAAGAGACAAACUAUUCAAGCCCAGGCUCAGCAAUCCCGGACUGCACGUCCCUGCUUGGCACAGCGCGCGACCCCCAGGGGGCGCCCUCGCAUCACACGUGCAAUUCCCCACAGAGGCUGCAUCCAGGGCUCCCCUGUGCCCAGGGCUGCAUAGGGCGACCUGGACUCCCUGCAGGAGGCAGAGGCAGCAUGAGUGCAGCCAGGCCGGUGCCUCUGGCCCUCACUAGUCUCAUCCUGCCACCGACCUGCUGAAGCUAGGGUCCCUCUUGUUUUUCUAGCCCUUUCAAAUCUGCCCUCCCACCUCUUGCUCUGUGUCCAUUCAAGGAAUUCUCCUGAUUCCUCCUUGUCUUUUGGGGAACCCUCCCUGACAUUAUUUUAUAGGUCAGAUGUUGCUAAGGUUUAAACCUACCCCAAACCACUGUGGCAUACAGCUGAUGUAACUACAAGGCUCCCCAAAGGAUCAGAGCACUAGGGAAUCAAUCACAGAUGGUAUACAGAUACACUAAGGAAGGGCAAGAGAGCUCUUUGCCUGUUUGGUGUUUGAUUUUGCCUUUUCAAUCACUUAACAGUAGGAUUGUUUCCUUUUGCCUCCAUUUUCUUUUAAGACUGAGUUAAUAUCAUUGUCUUACAGUUUUUGUAAGGAUAAAAUAGGGAAGGUUCACCGUGCCUGGAACAUAACAGGGACCCACAAAUAUUGGUUUUCCUGUAUCUUAGCUUGAGCUCCCCAGAAAACAGAGCCUGAAGUCAAGCUUCAAAUCCAGUGCUUUUUUUGGUGGCAUCAUCUCAGGGAAGCAAGAUUGAAGGGAAAGGAGACCAGAGGAAGGGAGGAAGAGAGAGCAGAUCCCAGGCUGUGCUGACCUUAGCAGGUUCCAAGGCCAUGGGUAUGGCAUCCCUGUAGCAGAGGAGGGCACUUUACCUCCAGUGUCUUCCCACCACUUCUCUCAUUAGUCAGGGUUUUAACUGUGGUGUGUUAGUUCCCUGCAUUCUGAGCUGUUACCCCUGCUCCCUGGAGGCCCUCUGGACAAGUCAAGGCCUCUGUGGGAAGGGCUGGCUCAGGCCUAGGUGGCCUGAGUUGCUGUGAUUCCUGCUGCAUGCAGUGGGAGAAGGGAAGCUAUGUCAAACCCUGGCCCUUGUCCUCAGGGGAGGUUGAGGCGAAUGCAGUAUUAGCAGAUGGAGUGAUGGUGCUAGGGCCCUAUGACCUCAGAAACAGCUUGAGCUACUGCUAAGACUCCUUUGUUAGAGAAAGCAGGGUGGGGCCUGGGGACAGGGCAGCCAGGUGGGCUAAGUAGAUCUCUGGCAGUAUAUAGACUGAAUCUCAUACACUUCUCCCUUUCCUUGUGUUUAUGCGAGCUCUGCUUCCCAGCACAUCUAACACUGGGCACAUUCACAUUCACUGAAUAUCAAAAGGGCACAGAAAUGAAUGAAGCAUGCCUGAAGUUGAUGAUUUCAUUCAUGAAGCAAAUAUUGUAUUCUUUUUUUUAUGAGAGAGAGAGAGAGAAUUUUUAAUAUUUAUUUUUUUAGUUUUUGGCGGACACAACAUCUUUCUUUGUAUGUGGUGCUGAGGAUCGAACCCGGGCCGCACACAUGCCAGGCGAGUGCGCUACCGCUUGAGCCACAUCCUCAGCCCGCAAAUAUUGUAUUUCAGAAGGAUCGGGUGUUCUUAGGUCUUGUUCUGUGCUGGAUGCUUUGGAAAGUUAUGUUAAUCAGGGCAAGUUAGUGAAGGGGUUAGGGUUUUUUUUUUUUUUUUUUUAUAAAAUACCAGAUAGGAUUAGGAAAUAGAGGAAAUAGAAGAAACCAUCAAAAGACUACCAACUAAGAAAAGCCCAUGACCGGAUGGGUAUACAGCAGAGUUUUACAAAACCUUUAAAGAGGAACUAAUACCAAUACUUUUCAAGCUACUUCAGGAAAUAGAAAAAGAGGGAGAACUUCCAAAUUCAUUCUACGAGGCCAACAUCACCCUGAUACCUAAACCAGACAAAGACACUUCAAAGAAAGAAAACUACAGACCAAUAUCUCUAAUGAACCUAGAUGCAAAAAUCCUCAAUAAAAUUCUGGCGAAUCGGAUACAAAAACAUAUCAAAAAAAUUGUGCACCAUGAUCAAGUAGGAUUCAUCCCUGGGAUGCAAGGCUGGUUCAAUAUACGGAAAUCAAUAAAUGUUAUUCACCACAUCAAUAGACUUAAAAAUAAGAACCAUAUGAUCAUCUCGAUAGAUGCGGAAAAAGCAUUCGACAAAGUACAGCAUCCCUUUAUGUUCAAAACUCUAGAAAAACUAGGGAUAACAGGAACAUACCUCAAUAUUGUAAAAGCAAUCUAUGCUAAGCCUCAGGCUAGCAUCAUUCUGAAUGGAGAAAAAUUGAAGGCAUUCCCUCUAAAAUCUGGAACAAGACAGGGAUGCCCUCUCUCUCCACUUCUGUUCAACAUAGUUCUCGAAACACUGGCCAGAGCAAUUAGACAGACGAAAGAAAUUAAAGGCAUAAAAAUAGGAAAAGAAGAACUGAAAUUAUCACUAUGGGCAUUUAUAAACAAUGGAGUAUUACUCUGCAUUAAAAAAUGACAAAAUCAUAGAAUUUGCAGGGAAAUGGAUGGCAUUAGAGCAGAUUAUGCUAAGUGAAGCUAGCCAAUCCCUAAAAAACAAAUGCCAAAUGUCUUCUUUGAUAUAAGGAGAGUAACUAAGAACAGAGUAGGGACGAAGAGCAGGAGAAGAAGAUUAACAUUAAACAGGGAUGAGAGGUGGGAGGGAAAGGGAGAGAGAAGGGAAAUUGCAUGGAAAUGGAAGGAGACCCUCAGGGUUAUACAAAAGUACAUACAAGAGGAAGUGAGGGGAAAGGGAAAAAUAAUACAAGGGGGAGAAAUGAAUGACAGUAGAGGGGGUAGAGAGAGAAGAGGGGAGGGGAGGGGAGGGGGGAUAGUAGAGGAUAGGAAAGGCAGCAGAACACAACAGACACUAGUAUGGCAAUAUGUAAAUCAAUGGAUGUGUAACUGAUGUGAUUCUGCAAUCUGUAUAUGGGGUAAAAAUGGGAGUUCAUAACCCACUUGAAUCAAAGUGUGAAAUAUGAUAUAUCAAGAAAUUUGUAAUGUUUUGAACAACCAACAAUAAAAAAAAUUUAAAAAAACCUGUAAGAAAAAAUAAAAUAAAAUAAAAUACCAGAUAGGAUUUAUGCUUUGUAGGCUACAUGCAACUCUGUAUUCCUCUUAUUUUCUUUACAUACCUUUGAAAAUGUAAAAAACAAUUAUCCUGCAAGUCAUAAAAAGCAGGUUGGAUGCCCAUGGGUUAGACUAUUUUGAACCAAGAAGAUCCCAGUUGAAGUGGCUUAACAUGUAAAAGGUUUAUUCUUGCUCACAUCACUGUCCAGUGCAGGUCAGUGGCCCUCCAGAGCAGCUUUAAUCUGUGUGGUAACUUAGGGAUACAGGAUGCCUUCAUCUUCUCAGGUCACCAUCUAUGCCAUCCCGAUUUUUUUUUUUUUUUGUACUGUAGAUUGAACUCAGGGACAGUUAACCACUGAGCCACAUCCCCAGCCCUAUUUUGUAUUUUAUUUAGAGACAGGAUCUCACUGAAUUGCUUAGCACCUUAGCUGUGAACUCCCAAUCUUCCUGCCUCAGCCUCCUGAGCCACUGGGAUUACAGGCAUGUGCUACCAUGCCCAGCUCCCAGCCCAUUCUUUUUUUUAUUCUUAGAUUUAUUUUCCAAAAUGCAAUUUAUAUGUUCUUAUAUGUAAAAAGCAACCUUAAUUACAACAUGAAAUAACCAUAUUAUUUGCUUUCUCCAGUUACAAAUACAUAUAAAUCUAUUAAAUGUAAUGUUAGAUGUAUGCUUUCUCUCUAUUAUGUGAUUGCUCCUCUCUUUUAAAGGUACAGGCCUUAAGGACAAGAUGGGCUCCUGGAGGCAAGUGUGUGGGGUGAACCCUAUGGACUGACUUCAGUGCCUACUGUGGGCACUGACCCUGAUCUGACCCCUGCCACUCAGCAGUGCACCUGGGGAACAUCUAGCAUGCCAAGUCCUCAUCUAGAGAGAUGCCCCAGGUUGGCAUUUUUGAAGUUCCUAAUGGGGACUUAGAGCUCAGAAUUGUGGCCACAGCAGAAGUUUUGGAAAUGCUUCUCUGUUCUUCUCCAUGUCUUGCAUGUCUAGGAACUAUCGCCAAAUCCACUUCUCUUGAUCCUCCUGGGACAGCAUAGUGAUCCAAGUUGAAUUGGGGCAAAUACUCGGUUCUCAAAUUCAAUAGAUGUGGAGGUAUGUUAAGUCUGUCUAAUGUCUAUAAGAAUUUAGUUUAGUAAUUACGUCAGAAUAUUUUUCUGCUCUCUUUAAAAGGUUUAUUUUAUUUUUUUGAGAGAUAGAGAGAGAGAGAGAGAGAGAAUUUUAGUAUUUAUUUUUUAUUUAUCAGCAGGCACAACAUCUUUGUUUGUAUGUGGUGCUGAGGAUCGAACCCGGGCUGCGCGCAUGCCAGGUGAGCGCGCUACCGCUUGAGCCACAUCCCCAGCCCACUUUAAAAGGUUUAUAUGGAAUAAGGAGAAACUAUUCUAAAGGGUAGGGAAGGUUUUUCCACAUCAAGGAUUUGUACAUCUGUCUGCAGGUUUUGUUUGGGGACUUCAUGGUGCCUAGAAUCUGAGCCCUGGAAUGAGCCGUCAGAGACAAAGCAUGCACAGAAACCCUCUUAACUGCAAAGCUUGCCUAGGCUAUUUACUCUCUAAAUAUAUCUAAACAACAUAAGAAGACCAUGGAUCUAUAACUGAAGUAUUAAGCCCCUGCAGAUAGAAACAAUUCUUAACCAAUAGAUUAAGCAUUUAAAUUAUUAGCAAACGAUAAAACAACAACAAAAGAAACAUAACAAAAAUAUAAAAAGGAAACACAUAAUUCUCUCAACCUUCCCUGUCUCUGUUCCUCACCAAAGGAACAUUGAUCUGGGUAUAAAAAUCCAAACAAAGGGGCUGGGUUGUGGCUCAGCAGUAGAGCACUUGCCUACCAUGUGCAAGGCCCUGGGUUUGAUCCUCAGCACCACAUAAAAAUAAAUAAAUAGAAUAAAGGUAUUAAAAAAAUCCAAACAACAUUCUUUCUUUGCUUUUUAGUUGGAAGUGACUGUGGAAAUGGUGGUUCCCACUCUUAUUUUAUAUUUUGAGACAUGGUCUUGCUAAGUUACUUAGGACCUCACUAAGUUGUUGAGGCUGUCUUUGAACUUGAGAUCCUCCUGCCUCAGUCUUCUGAGUUGCUGGGAUUACAGGUGUAUACUAUCAAUACUGGUUUACACAACUAUUUAAAGUAUUAUGUCAUAUCUGUUAUGUUUUCUUAGUUAGUAUUCAAAUAGCCUCACAUUAACAGCAGAGGAGUUGAGCCAAAGUAGUUUCCUGUAUGUCUGGGAAGAGGAAAUGGCAUACAAAAACACAGGAAUGUCUUUCCCCCAGAUUAAAGAAAAGUUAAGACAUGGUCCUUGUCUUAUAGGACCUAGUAUCAAGCUGGGACAAAGGAUGGGCAUGAAUGAAACAUCAAAUAACAAAGAACAACUUCAAAUUCUGUGUCAGAGUUCUGACAAAAGUCAAAACAAAAGACUAUAGAAAUUCACAGGACCAAGAGACCAGACUGGGCCCAUGUAGUUGGCUAAAACUUUAUGGAGAAGAUAGAACUGGAAUUUGAUUUUGAAGCACUGGCAAGACUUAGCCAGAGGGAGAAAGAUGGGAAAUGUUUUUUAGGAAGGGGAAGUAGCAUAAACAAAUUGUCACAACUGGAGAAGGCCAGGGCGUCCAAAGUGUUUGCACUGGUGGAGUUCAGGCACUGAUCCAUCCUAAUGCCUGCUGUCCUGGCAGAAGAUCUCAGUGGUUGGCUUUGGGAGAGGUUCUUGUGCAGGGACUGGGGUAGAGGUAGGGCUGUAAGGCAGGGUGGAGGAGACAGCUUCCUAGCAUUUUACCCCAUUCACUGCAUGCUGAGGUGUCUCAGUGUUUUAACAACCAGAAUGGCUUCAUCAGUGCAUGUAAGCUAAACAUCUGCCCUGCAUCGGAGACUUAUGGAAACAGAGGAUGGAAAGACAAGUUGGAAUUAAAUUGGGAAGGUCUCUGAUUGCAAGGGUGUUUGGAAUAUCCAAAGCAGAGAUUGACAUUAUUUAUUUUCAGAGAUAAAGCCUAGAGCACCCUAUAUAAUAAAUAUCCAAUAAUGAAUGGUUAAAUAUAAAUAGUGAACCCAUAUAAUGGAAUUGUCUGUGAUCAUUAAGAUCCAGUUUCUGAAGACUUUUAACAACAUGGAAUGAUAUGUAUAAACUAGAAAACUAGAGAAACUAGAACAAAAAAACUAGAGAAGAAAACUAGAGUAUAAUACCAAUUUAGUAAUAAAAAUAUUAAGACUAAAAUAACAUCAAACAUAGUGGUUAUUUAAAAAUUAAUUUAAAUUGACAAAAAUAAUAUAUAUUUGUCAUGUAUGUUUUAAAAUAUAUAUAAUUAGUAUUUAUUUUUGGAUGGUAGUAUUACAUUGAUUUUUCUUUUCAUCAUUAAAUUUUCCUAUGUUUUGAAUUUUUAUAUAAUAAACCCAUAUGACUUAUAAUAAUUACUCCUCAAAAGAAAGUUUAACAUGUGGCAUGUGGCACAGUGGUGGCGGUGACUACAAUUUUCUCUUUCUUUUGUAGGUAAAUUCCAGUCUCAUUUCGGCAGUGCCCAAGAACUAAGUACCUACAUGAGUCAGUCCACAGUGGCUGAGCAUCAUCUAUCCCUGGGAUAUCAGGCUCAGUUUGCCACUGAGCAGACAACUGGAAAGCCCACCUUGUUUGUCAUCCUAUAUAGGUGAACUUGUAAUUCCAGCAACUCAACUCACAGAGUGAAUACUGAUCCAGAAAAUUGCACAGCCACCCUGGGCUUGAGCCACUGACUUGUGGGGUAUCAAGGAUUGGUCACAGAACAGUGAGAACCCAUACAGACAUGGCAUCUCAUUUCACAGACCGGAAAACCAGAAAGAGGAAGGCACUUACCCAAGGUCACACAGUGAGUAACUAUAAGUAGGGACUUGAACCUGGUCUUUGUCCUAUGCUAUGUCUUCAUCUAUCACAGUGUACCUUAGACAACUGACUUCCCUGGAUUCUGUUCAAAUCCCUCUUUUGCCUAGGUUCUAUAAGUCAGAUGUGGUUUGGAAUUAAAUUCACAGAAUCACUGCUAUUUCAUGGCUCUUCAGUUUUGUGGCUCCCUAGGUCUUCUGACAAAAUUCUGUCCUUCUUUAAAUCCAAUAUGUAAUGAAAACAUUGGC
rnacentral:lncRNA from 1 species